CCUACGGGAGGCAGCAGUGAGGAAUAUUGGUCAAUGGGCGCAAGCCUGAACCAGCCAAGUCGCGUGAGGGAUGACGGUCCUAUGGAUUGUAAACCUCUUUUGUCGGGGAGCAAGGCCCGCCACGUGUGGCGGGAAGGAGAGUACCCGAAGAAAAAGCAUCGGCUAACUCCGUGCCAGCAGCCGCGGUACUACGGAGGAUGCGAGCGUUAUCCGGAUUUAUUGGGUUUAAAGGGUGCGUAGGCGGAAGGUUAAGUCAGCGGUCAAAUGUCGGUGCUCAACACCGGCCUGCCGUUGAAACUGGUCGUCUUGAGUGAGCGAGAAGUAUGCGGAAUGCGUGGUGUAGCGGUGAAAUGCAUAGAUAUCACGCAGAACUCCGAUUGCGAAGGCAGCAUACCGGCGCUCAACUGACGCUGAGGCACGAAAGCGUGGGGAUCGAACAGGAUUAGAUACCCCUGUAGUC
rnacentral:rRNA from 1 species